GAUGAACGCUGCCAGCAUGCUUAACACAUGCAAGUCUUUGGCGAAGCUGUGCUUGCACCGCCUAGCCAAGGCGGACGGGUGAGUAACGCGUAAGGAACUUGCCCUGCAGUCAGGGAUAACAGACGGAAACGACUGAUAAGACCUGGUAAAGUCAGGCGGACUCAUGUCCAGCCUGAUGAAAAGAGAUGCUGCAGGAGAGCCUUGCGUCCUAUUAGCUUGUUGGUGGGGUAACGGCCCACCAAGGCGAUGAUAGGUAGCCGGCCUGAGAGGGUGGACGGCCACAAGGGGACUGAGAUACGGCCCUUACUCCUACGGGAGGCAGCAGUGGGGAAUAUUGGACAAUGGGGGCAACCCUGAUCCAGCAAUUCUGUGUGCACGAUGAAGGUUUUCGGAUUGUAAAGUGCUUUCAGCAGGGAAGAAAAAAAUGACGGUACCUGCAGAAGAAGCGACGGCUAAAUACGUG
rnacentral:rRNA from 1 species